CUGGUCAGUUUCUGCCGCCUGGACUGGGAACGUUUCUGCUCCUGGACUGGGAACGUUUCUGCUCCUGGACUGGGAACGUUUCUGCUCCUGGAC